rnacentral:lncRNA from 1 species
UCAGGUUUAUUCAAGUUGAAUGAGACAAAUGUUGUUUAAAAAUUAUCAAAUCAAAUAUUAUAUAAUUUAGAUGAAUUUAUUGAAUCAAUAAUUAGUUUUUGUUAAAAUUUGAAUUGUUAUCUUUAAGAAUACGUUUUUCAUUCAAUCGUCAAAUUAAAAUCUCAUGUUGAAAAUUUUCUUUUCUCAUGGUACUGGAUUUAUAUGAGUAAUAUAAACAAAAUAAUUCAACAUCAACUGUUCAUAAAAGAAUUCAAG